UUUGUUUCUAAUAAGUACAAUAUUUCCCUUUUACUACUAUUGGCUAAUACUGGCAUUUUAACCCAACAAACAAAUAAAUAAAUAAAUAAUUAAAUAAAUAAAUGAUUAGGUGUUUAAUAAAUACAUAUACUUUUACAGAGUAUAUGGCCAUCCUUUAGAGGGCAGCACAGUGUUAAUUGGCUAGUCACAGUUUGGAACUCGAGCUGUUCAUCAGUUUAUUCGGAGACGCCGUCCUGUGGGAACAAAAUUCAGCUAUUUUGAGUAAACCUUUCAGAUUACUGAUUCCAGAAAACGGGUUCCAUGGAUCAGCUGCAUGUGUUGAUGAAAGCUAAGAGGUCUGCCAGCCUCACCCAGUUCUCCAGCUCGUCCUGGUACUCCUGGUAUACCAGGUUUUCCUGGCUCUCCUGCCUGUCCUGGAGGACCCUCUGGGCCUCUUUCUCCAAUAGCCCUGCCUGUGGGGCCCUGAGGGCCGGGAGGCCCUUUCUCACCCUGAUCACCUUUUAAACCUCGCUCACCUGGGAAUCCUCGAGCACCCUUAGAUCGGGAAAAAAUUAAAACCACAGAAAAAGAACAAAGAAGAUUAAGGAACAGCAGUGACAAAAAUAUUCAGCUACUAACAUACAGCUAACUAUUCAAAUGAGCUUCAUAUCUUAAACUUUAAAAUACUAUUAAACUGUCUUGUUUCAUAUA